AACGACUCUCGGCAACGGAUAUCUCGGCUCUCGCAUCGAUGAAGAACGUAGCGAACUGCGAUACUUGGUGUGAAUUGCAGAAUUCCGUGAACCAUCGAGUCUUUGAACGCAAGUUGCGCCCGAAGCCAUUAGGCCGAGGGCACGUCUGCCUGGGCGUCACGCA
rnacentral:rRNA from 1 species